AAAAAAAAAAAACAGCAAAAUUAAUAGGAUUUUUGUUAUGUUUUUAUUUUUAGGGUUUGUUAUUUUCCUGUU
rnacentral:ribozyme from 11 species